rnacentral:lncRNA from 1 species
GCUUCAGCAUUUCCUGGCAGUCUCCUCCAGUCACUUUCACAGGCGUUCCGGUGUCUCCGACACACCAUCAUGCAGCCGGCACAGGAGAGCAGAGACAGCACGCUCACACCACCCUGUCCUCCCCGCCCAGAGGGACAGUCACCCUGAGAAAGCCCAGAGGAGAAGGCAAAAAGUGCCGCAAGGUUUACGGGAUGGAAAACAGGGACAUGUGGUGCACCGCCUGCCGCUGGAAGAAGGCCUGCCAGCGGUUCAUCGACUGAGCCGGGGGGCAGGCUCACCCCAGCCAUUCCUGCCUCUCCCUCUAAAGGGAGCUACUCAAGGCCCAGGGAAGGCCCUCCUGGAAUUCCAGGAAUAUAAUUCCUUGGUGGAAUUAAAGCAGAAACUCAGCACCGCGCUGCUCUGAGAACCGGGCAAGAGCACCAAGCAGGACUUUUUCC